rnacentral:rRNA from 1 species
GAUGAACGCUGGCGGCGUGCCUAAUACAUGCAAGUCGAGCGAACAGACGAGGAGCUUGCUCCUCUGACGUUAGCGGCGGACGGGUGAGUAACACGUGGAUAACCUACCUAUAAGACUGGGAUAACUUCGGGAAACCGGAGCUAAUACCGGAUAAUAUAUUGAACCGCAUGGUUCAAUAGUGAAAGACGGUUUUGCUGUCACUUAUAGAUGGAUCCGCGCCGCAUUAGCUAGUUGGUAAGGUAACGGCUUACCAAGGCGACGAUGCGUAGCCGACCUGAGAGGGUGAGCGGCCACACUGGAACUGAGACACGGUCCAGACUCCUACGGGAGGCAGCAGUAGGGAAUCUUCCGCAAUGGGAGAAAGCCUGACGGAGCAACGCCGCGUGAGUGAUGAAGGUCUUCGGAUCGUAAAACUCUGUUAUUAGGGAAGAACAAAUGUGUAAGUAACUAUGCACGUCUUGACGGUACCUAAUCAGAAAGCCACGGCUAACUACGU